rnacentral:pre_miRNA from 1 species
AGUGGAAUUGCUGGGUCAUAUGGUAACUCUAUGUUUAACUUUUGGAGGAACUAUCAAAUUGUUUUCCAAAUCAGCUGUAUCAUUUUACUUUCCCACCAGUAAU